GGGGAUUUAGCUCAGCGACAAAAGCACCUGCCUUGCAAGCAGGAGGUUGUGAGUUUGAUCCCCG
rnacentral:tRNA from 1 species